GACGAACGCUGGCGGCGUGCCUAAUACAUGCAAGUUGAGCGAUGAAGAUUGGUGCUUGCUCCAAUUUGAAGAGCAGCGAACGGGUGAGUAACGCGUGGGGAAUCUGCCUUUGAGCGGGGGACAACAUUUGGAAACGAAUGCUAAUACCGCAUAAUAACUUUAAACAUAAGUUUUAAGUUUGAAAGAUGCAAUUGCAUCACUCAAAGAUGAUCCCGCGUUGUAUUAGCUAGUUGGUGAGGUAAAGGCUCACCAAGGCGAUGAUACAUAGCCGACCUGAGAGGGUGAUCGGCCACAUUGGGACUGAGACACGGCCCAAACUCCUACGGGAGGCAGCAGUAGGGAAUCUUCGGCAAUGGACGAAAGUCUGACCGAGCAACGCCGCGUGAGUGAAGAAGGUUUUCGGAUCGUAAAACUCUGUUGGUAGAGAAGAACGUUGGUGAGAGUGGAAAGCUCAUCAAGUGACGGUAACUACCCAGAAAGGGACGGCUAACUACGUG
rnacentral:rRNA from 1 species